UGGGGAAUAUUGGACAAUGGGCGAAAGCCUGAUCCAGCGACGCCGCGUGGGUGAAGAAGGCCUGCGGGUUGUAAAGCCCUUUCGGUUGGGAAGAAAAGCUGCGACCUAAUACGUCGCAGCCUUGACGUAACCAACUAAAGAAGCACCGGCUAACUCUGUGCCAGCAGCCGCGGUAAUACAGAGGGUGCGAGCGUUAAUCGGAAUUACUGGGCGUAAAGCGCGCGUAGGCGGCUUUGCAAGCCGGAUGUGAAAUCCCCGGGCUUAACCUGGGAACUGCAUUCGGGACUGCAUUGCUAGAGUAUGGGAGAGGGAAGUGGAAUUUCAGGUGUAGCGGUGAAAUGCGUAGAUAUCUGAAGGAACAUCAGUGGCGAAAGCGACUUCCUGGACCAAUACUGACGCUCAUGUGCGAAAGCGUGGGGAGCAAA
rnacentral:rRNA from 1 species